UAAAUGCUGAGAAACUCAUGUUAGGUGAACUUGAUAAGUAUAUAGCAAAUAAGAGAAUAAAUAUUCUUGGAUAUACUGAUAGUAUUACCUUACCAUGAAAGCAACUGAUUGCUUUCAAUGGAUAAUUGAACCUCAUUUCUAAUGACAUGAAAAAUGCUUGCUCCAACUGAAUCUGAAAGUAUGAUCUUUGAAUGCCAUUUCUAUAAUCCAAAUAUUCUAUGUUUAAAGGAAAAGGAAGAUAUAGCAUAAGAGCAUUUUAACUGAGCAUUUAUUUUGCCAGUCCCUGUAAUAUGUGUUUUCCAAUUAUUAUUUUAUUUAAUCCUUACAUUCUGCCAAAUAAGUAUUACUCCAUUUGUUGAUGGAAAUAAAGCUCAGAGAGGUUGAGAAUAUAGCCAAAAAUUGCACAGCAAUGGUAAGACUUUUUAGAUUGUUGCAAAGUUAAAAAGAGAUUAGAGAAAUUCAUCCGUUUAGUGUGUGUGGAUAUUUGUGUGUGUGUGUGGAUGGGUAAAAUAAUUAUCCAGUGUUCAGAAGCCUCCUGGGAAGUACUUUUAAGGUUAUUAGUGGUUUUGCAAAAUCAAAACAAGUGGGUAGGGAUCAGUGGUAUGGAGAGGACAAAGCAGAGCACUUAGUGGUUUAGAGUAUUUUGCUCUUGGCAAGAAGUCAACAGUUUAUAUAAAGACUGAGUGGUCCUGACAUGAGCUAUGGAGAGCUGUGAAAUGACAGGAGUCAUUACACCAGAACAGCAGAUGCAAUUCUCUUAGAAGUUGGCUCCUGGUUGAACAAGUGGUAGAGAGCAACAUUUUCAAAAGCCCGGCAGAUACUCGUGCCGCUGACACAAAUCAAAGAACAGUAUAUCGACUUCCUCCAAAGCCUGGCGUUUUGUCCGUGGGGACCCACGCGGGUUCAACAUGCGUAUCGAGAAGUGUUAUUUCUGUUCCGGGCCUAUCUACCCUGGCCACGGCAUGAUGUUCAUACGCAACGAUUGCAAGGUGUUCAGAUUUUGUAAAUCUAAAUGCCAUAAAAACUUUAAAAAGAAGCCCAAUCCUCGCAAAGUUAGGUGGACCAAAGCAUUCCGGAAAGCAGCUGGGAAAGAGCUUACAGUGGAUAAUUCAUUUGAAUUUGUAACGCGUAGAAAUGAACCUAUCAAAUACCAGCGAGAGCUAUGGAAUAAAACUAUUGAUGCAAUGAAGAGAGUUGAAGAGAUCAAACAGAAACGCCAAGCUGAAUUUAUAAUGAACAGACUGAAAAAAAUAAAGAGCUACAUAAAGUUUAGGAUAUCAAAGAAGUCCAGCAAAACAUCCAUGUUAUCCGAGCCCCUCUUGCAGGCAAAGGGAAGCAUUUGGAAUAGAAAAUGGUACAGCAGGUGCAAGAGGAUGUGGAUAUGGAAGACGCUUCUUAAAAAUCUCUGUAACCAUUUCUUUUAUGUGCAUUUGAAAAUGCCCUUUGGACACUUGGAACUGCUAAAUUAUUAGUUUAUUUUUUACAUAAGGUCACUUAAAUGAAAAGUGAUUAAAAUAUGUCUUUUCUACAUUGCCAUCUAUAAAACAUCAGAUAUUACUGAUGUUACAUUGCAUCUCAGUGUUAAAUCUUCACUGACAGAUGUAUUUAUGUAAAUCAGGAAAAUUCUGCUUAUAGCUGUAGAAGUUAAUUGUGGAUGUAAAAUGCUUAUUCCAUUUGGAUAAUGUCACAGGGAAGCCUUUGUAUAAUAAGUAAUGGCAAAAAUUCAUGGUUAGUGAUGUAUCAAAUAAAAUAUUCUUUGCAGUAAAAUAUUCCCUUUAUUAAUGUUACAGAAAGAGGGAUACAACAAGGAAAUAACAAUUUGUAUGACAGUGUCAAAUACUAUUUUGAUUUUAGUAUUUCCUGUUUUGGUUUAUUGGCAUCUCAGAGGAGCAUAAUGUUAUUGUUUGAUGAAGCCUAAUUGUUCUGGACUGUUUUGACCUGGUUUAACCCUUCUGAUAGGUAGUUUCGGAUAUUGGGGAUAAGAACUGAAUAAUCUUUGCCUGGAGUGACACUACACUCUAGAAUUUCCACUUUGGAGAAUACUCAGUUCCAACUUGUGAUUCCUGGUAGAACAAACUUUAUUUUUCUAGCCUACCAAUGAUCUAGAAGCAGAGGAAUCCCAAUGCCUUUUAAAAGUUAUGUGGUUUUCUUUUAAAAAGCUCCUGUUUUUGGAAAGUAGAAUUUAUGGGUACAACAUCUGUUCAUUAUUUGCACAUAAAAUAAAGCCAUUUAAAAAGUAAAAAAAAAAA